AUGUGAUCUGUUAGAUUAGCAUGGCAGCCAUGUUUGAGGUUCACUUGCUUGGUCGAUGUCCGUAUCUUGGAAUCCUAGCUCACAAGCGGGGACCGUGGUCGGCAGGAGGAUAAGAAUCCGAAGUUGAGACUAGGCCCGACGUGGACUGGAGGAAGGGGAUCCAGAAGUCGACUAAAUGAGCUAGUAGUUUUGGAGCAAGUCAAUCAUAGGCCAAUGCC
rnacentral:lncRNA from 1 species